AAAAACCACCCAACACAACAAAACAAAAAAAAAAGAAGACACUUUGGGCUCAAUCCUCCCCUCUUUCCCUCCUCUCAUCUCUUUUUCUUCCUCUUCCUCUUCUCUCUUCUUU
rnacentral:ribozyme from 14 species